CCAUGAAAAUCCCAGAAAAUGCAUGCUGGAAAACGUCACAGGGUAUAAAUAACAAGCCCCUCCCCUUAUAGUUCAUUCCUGGAUUUGUUCUGAGGUAUUUUGUCUCUGAAGAGUGGCCGUCGAGGAAUUUGAACACCUAAUAAAACGUUUUCUUCAAUUAAUUGACAUUUCAUUACUAGUUUUGCCUCCAGUUUGUUCGUCGGAAUAGCUAUAUUUUAGCUGCCACAACCCCGCCCAAACAUUGUCAGUAGAAUGGCCUGUACUGAAGAGCUCAGUGACUUUCAACGUGGCACCGUCAUAGGAUGCCACCUUUCCAACAAGUCAGUAAGUCAAAUUUCUGCUCAGCUAGAACUGCCCAGGUCAACUGUGAGUGCUGUUAUUGUGGAGUGGAAACGUCUAGGAGCAACAACGGCUGAGCCUCGAAGUGGUAAGCCACACAAGCUCACAGAACGGGACCGGCGAGUGUUGUAGCGUGAAGAAAUUGUCUGUUCUCUGUUG